rnacentral:rRNA from 1 species
UACGUAGGUGGCAAGCGUUAUCCGGAAUUACUGGGCGUAAAGCGCACGCAGGCGGCUAGUCAAGUUCGACGUGAAGGCUCCCGGCUUAACUGGGAGAGGUCGUUGAAAACUGGUUAGCUUGAGGCAAUGAGAGGGGUGUAGAAUUCCCGGUGUAGUGGUGGAAUGCGUAGAUAUCGGGAGGAAUACCAGUGGCGAAAGCGGCACCCUAGCGUUGUUCUGACGCUCAUGUGCGAAAGCGUGGGGAGCGAACGGG